rnacentral:rRNA from 1 species
CCUACGGGAGGCAGCAGUGGGGAAUAUUGCACAAUGGGGGAAACCCUGAUGCAGCGACGCCGCGUGAGUGAAGAAGUAUUUCGGUAUGGAAAGCUCUAUCAGCAGGGAAGAAAAUGACGGUACCUGAUUAAGAAGCCCCGGCUAACUACGUGCCAGCAGCCGCGGUAAUACGUAGGGGGCAAGCUUUAUCCGGAUUUACUGGGUGUAAAGGGAGCGUAGACGGCAUCACAAGUCUGGAGUGAAAUUCCGGGGCUCAACCCUGAAACUGCUUUGGAAACUGUGAAGCUAGAGGACAGGUGAGGUAGGCGGAAUUCGUGGUGUAGCGGUGAAAUGCGUAGAUAUUAGGAAGAACUCCAGUUGCGAAGGCAGCUUACUAAACUGUCACUGACAUUGAUGCUCGAAAGUGUGGGGAGCAAACAGGAUUAGAUACCCGUGUAGUC